rnacentral:rRNA from 1 species
AUUCCAGCUCCAAUAGCGUAUAUUAAAGUUGUUGCGGUUAAAAAGCUCGUAGUUGGAUUUCUGCCGAGGAUGACCGGUCCGCCCUGUGGGUGUGCAUCUGGCUCAGCCUUGGCAUCUUCCUGAAGAACGUAGCUGCACUUGACUGUGUGGUGCGGUAUUUAGGACAUUUACUUUGAGGAAAUUAGAGUGUUUCAAGCAAGCGCACGCUUUGAAUACAUUAGCAUGGAAUAAUAAGAUAGGACCUUGGUCUAUUUUGUUGGUUUGCAUUCCAAGGUAAUGAUUAAUAGGGAUAGUUGGGGGUAUUCGUAUUCAAUUGUCAGAGGUGAAAUUCUUGGAUUUAUGGAAGACGAACUACUGCGAAAGCAUUUACCAAGGAUGUUUUCAUUA